rfam:Rhizophagus irregularis DAOM 197198w jcf7180003182619, whole genome shotgun sequence.
GCUCCUUUAGCUCAGUUGGUUAGAGCGUCGUGCUAAUAGAACCCAGUGGGUUUUCACGCGAAGGUCAUAAGUUCGAUCCUUAUAAGGAGCA